AGGAGAGCAACUCUCAGGAUUAGCUCAGCUCAGGCAAUGGGAAUCCACCUUCUAGCAGAGUCUAUAUAAGGUGUGAAAGGGGAGGAAGAAACAUGGGCUGUGAUUGGGGAAACUUGCAGGGACGGUGACAUCACAGGCAAACCACCAACCAGGGCGCAGGAGACCAGAGCCCAGCCCCCUCCCCCAGGACAUCCUACUUGCAUGCUGCCCACCUGGGCCCUGACCCCACCAUGGGCUGCUGGCUGCUCUGCUGUGUGGCUCUCUGUCUCCUGGGAGCAGCAGGCACCAUGGACACUGGAGUUACCCAGAUACCAAAACACCUGGUAACGGGGAUGGGGAGGAACGUGACUCUGAAGUGCAAACAACAUCUGGGACAUAAUGCUAUGUACUGGUAUAAACAGAGCGCUCAAAACGCGCCCAAGCUCAUGUUUGCCUACAACUAUCAAGUUCUCGCUGAAAAUAAGACAGACUCCAGUCGCUUCUCCCUGUGGCGCCCAGACAACUCCCAGCUGGACCUCCACAUGGGCGGCGUGCAGCGCGAGGACUCCGCCAUGUAUCUCUGCGCCAGCAGCAAGGACACAGCCCCGCACCCGCCACGUCUCCCUGUGCACUAACCUCCUGGGUGGAGCCAGAAAGCCGGGUGCACCAAGGCUCAGCUCAGCAUUUCCUGGAGGACCCCAGACAGAGACCCCAGAGCCUCCUGCUGCCUGGCAGCUCCCUGGAUGCGCAGUGCUGAGCGCCCGGCAGGAAACCCCAUGGCUUGGGGCCUGGCUCUGCCUCGGUCCACACUGUGCCUGCGCUGAACGCGGGCCAGAGACGGUCCAGCGUCACGCUUCCCAGCAGCAUCCGGUCUGCAGGUGGCCCUGGGGAAACUUUCAUGGGCCAAGUUCCUCUCUGGCCACAGCAGAGAUGCCACGCCCCCACAAUAGGUGCCUUCCUCUGACUUUUCCUUCCACCCACGUGAGACCCUGCAUCUCAGCUCCAGUCCCUGCUCCAAACAGGCUCAGCCCUUUCCCAGAUCAUCUCCCUCCAUCACCACGUGGUUCCCUCAGCAGCGACCACUGAGGACGAUAUACCCGCAUCAGGUGUGGAUCACUGUUCUCCAGGAUACAUGGAACCAGGAGUCAGCCAAAGCCCUAGCCACUAUAUCAGAGAGAUGGGACAGAGCGUGGCUCUGAGGUGUGACCCCAUUUCUGGUCAUUUGUACUUCUUCUGGUACCGACAAUCCCCAGAAAGGGGAGUGGAGUUACUGAUUUCCAUCUACAACAAGGUUGGCUCAGAGAAGGCAGAUUUUGUGAAGAAUCCAUUCAGCUGAGAUGCCUGCGUCACAGACGGUACCCCUCUGAAGCCCCAGGCUGCACAGCUGGGGGACUCAGCCUCAGCCUUGCAGAGCUGCUUCCCGCCCUUGCACAAAUUCGAGGCUUCUCUGCUCCCAGGCUUUCAGCAGCCCUUCCUGCCCAAGGGGACGGGGCUGCAGCAGCUUCCCAGGAGCAGACGUCAGAAGUUAACUUUUUUUUUUAAAGUAGGCUCCACUUGCAGCAUGGAGCACAACGCAGGGCUUGAACUCAUGACCCGGGAUUUGCUGGGGGUUUCCCUACAAGGACGGCCCUGAGAACACCAUCCCUUAGUCCCCAGGAGCCACUCAGGGCUGAGCACACGGGCACCGGUGAGCACGCCCUGAACCAGCGGUUGCAGAAGCAGAGAACGGGGCACCCGGGUGGUAUAUUGUGGAGGUGGGAAGUCCCUCAAAACUGUAAAGAAAAGUAGAUAGCAAAUUUGAAGGAGACUACUGGAUUCCCAGGGGAAGCCCAGACAGAGGAGUAUUACCCUCAAAGAAUGAUCAGAGAAACUAGAGUGUGGGCCUAUUCCCCGGACCCAGUUCCACCGAGCAAUGCCCUGCUGUAGAAAAAAAAGGAAAAAAAGGAAGAAUGACUGAUGUUGAGACAAAUAAGAGGGGAUUCUGGGCUUUAAAAACCUGUAGGAAGUUUGGCAUCCCAGAAGGACCUGGCUAUUGGCUGACAAAGAGGCUCAGAUUACCAGCUCUUCCCUAAGAACACCAGGGUAUUCAGCUGGGGGAUAUUCCCUCACUCCCUGACCUGCCAUGGCUAGCAGGUAUUUGGUUUUGUGGCUUUUUGUCUCUUUGGAGCAGAUGAAUCCAGGAAACAGAAGGAAACUCCUGACAUGGGACUUUCAAUUCCAGAUCCUGGGCACUCCUUCAUUAGGACAACUUUUGUUUCCCUGUAUCUACUUUAGCUUACGUACCCUUCUCUGAUGGAACCCACGGAAGCUCAGAUACCAAGAUCACUGUCAUGGAAAUGGAAAAGCUGAUCUUUGAAUGUUCUUAGAAAACACACCAUUUUGCAAAGUACUGCUAUCAACAAGACCACGGACUGAACUCCAACUCUGAUUCAUUCGUCAGAUAGUACUGAACUUAUGGCCAAAAGAGUUGUGCUCGAAGUGUACACAUCUCAAAAACAUACAGAGAAUUUCCCCUUGACUCUGAAGUCGACCAUCGCCAACCAGACCUCUCUGUACUUCCGUGCCAGUCUGUGAUUCCACAGGACUGCAUGGCCAUAGCCACUCAGCUCAGAAAGAACAGGCGGCCUCUUGCUCAUGAGGCCCCUGCCCUCACCAGAAGGAAGCCCAGGAGGCCUUUCUGGCCCCCUCUCACCCACCAGCUGUGAAUGUGAAUCAAGCCCCUUGUUGAAUUUCAGUUGGGGCUGUUACUCCUUGUGGAAGCUCUCCCCAGCCCCUGUGUCCUUCCCUCCCAGACCCAGUGGAUUCUGGAGUUACCAAACACCGAGACUGCUGAUCAAAGCCAGCAAGCGACACUGAGACGUUCCCCCAUCUCUGGGCCGCCCAGUGUAUGUGGCCCCCAGCUCUUCUCUGCAUCUUACGAUGAGUUACAUGAGUCCCGGAGUGCAAAAGGGCACUUCCUCAGAGUAAUUCUCAAUGCGGCAGUCGAGCGCCUCUCACUGGGAGCUGCACGUGAACUUCUCGAGCCUCGGACGCGGCCGUGGGUCUCUGUGCCAACAGCCGGGCACAGCCCCGCAGGGUCACGAGCGUUCGGUGCACAAAUGUCCCAGCCCCAGCCUGGAGCAACCUCGGGGCUGACGGAUCUGCGAGAACGAGGGACUCAACAGAAAGACAAACGGUUUAAGGCCCUGCAAUGUGUGUGGCCUCUGGCUCUUCUGCCACUCAGGGCGAGGACAACAGGACAACAAGCUCUGUCCAGAGGAUGGUGCCGCAUCAGAGGUUCACCCCCAAAUUCCCUUCCCUGCCUGGCACUCCAUGCUGCAAGCAUAAAGGAACAAUGCACAUUUCCAUAGCUGGCACCCCUUUUUUCCAGGAUGGAGAGUUCAUUUGGGGAUCGGAAUUGUUUAAUAUAUAGGUAGCUAGAAGGGAGAAUCACAGAGAUGUGUUUUAUAUGAUACAGGGAGAAAAAAUUGAGAUUUUAGGGAAGUCUAGAAGAGCAAAUGUGAUUAAAGAUGGUUGAGAAUCGAGAAAGAGCUACAAAAUUAUUAAAAACGAGGUGAUUUAUCAUGUAAUCUCUUUUCUCCAAUCGAAAUCUUCAGGAGCCAGAAAAUACAAAGUGAGAUCUUACAGCAGCCGGAUCACCCCGUGUGGGUCCCAGGCAAGGGCAGGCUCAUGCUGAGAAGCCUGGAGUGGAUUCUGACCUCUCCCUUCUGGAUUUCUCAUCCCGGGCUUGCCUCCCCACACAGAGGCAGGCUUGCCUGCUCUGAUCACCAAUAGGCAGAGGCUCUCGGGUCUCCCCCAAGAGCAGGUCUGCUUCCCCAGAAUAGCUUCUCCCAUGUCAUCGCCCUGAUGCUGCUAGCUUCAGAGCAGGGCUUCCUGGCAGUCUUCGGGAUGCAUCGUACUCUGUGACCAAACCGCUCCUCGCAACUCGGCCCCAAACACCGAAGCCUUUCAAAUCCUCUGCCUCUGCUCUUGCUGUUCUCAUGGUCUAGAAGGCCCUUCCCUGCUGCCCGAAAAUGGCCAGAUACUAGGCAUCUUGCAGGGACUGGCUCAGAUAUUCUUCCUCUUCUUAAAAGGAUAUCAGUCCUCUUGGCUUAGGGUCCCACACUUGUUACCUCAUUUAACCCAAUUGCCUCCCUAAAGACCCUAUCUCCAGAUACACUCACAUUAGGGGUGACAAUCACAUUCAACGUAUGAAUUUGAGGGGUGGGACACGAUUCAGUUCAUGACAACAAUAUUGCUGUCUUUACUUUCGUAGGAAAAGCCAAGUAGAUACUUGAUACGCUUAGACACUAGUGAAAUGAAUGAAUUAAAUGGCCACUUAUGUAGAACCGUGGAAUUAUCAUUAACCACCAACUGUUUUCCUUCACAGGGAUCUCCUCUUACCUAGAGUGUAAUAGGUGACCUUGGCCCUCCAUCCAGCUUCUGCAGCACUCUGAGCACGUCUGUUUUCAUGGCCAGGAUUGAUGACCAGAACUGUAAAGUAGCCUAAUUGAAUGUAGAGCCGAAACAUGGCAAUGUUCUUUUGCAACAGAGAAAAUUACGUUAGGGUCACAUGUAUCGGGUCUCAUGAUCCCGUCAAGAAUUUUCCUUCACCAGACACCACUACAUCUUUAGAAACAUCUCUUGCCAUCUUCAAGGGUGCUUCUCAGAAAUGAAUCUGAAAAACAGAUAAAGAAAAAUUGCUGGGCGGGUAAUAAUACCUUGACAUCCUUGCGAAUUAAAGGGGAAUUGUGUGCAUGUGUGUAUGUGUGUGCGUGUGCAUACGCACGUGUGUGCGUGUGAGUGUGUGUUUUCUUGUGGAGACACACAAAAUGGAACUAGCUUCUCUCUGGGUGGAAUUUAUUAAGAAGCACUGGGUCACAUUUAUUAAGACAUACAGGUCCUUCUGGGUAAUGAUCGUAAAUGUGUCAGGCCCAAUGGGAUCUACCUUGACUAGAGCGGACGGGGUUUAUUUCUGGUUUUAUAGGUUCAAAAACAAAUAGGUAAAAUAGAGAAACCUUAAUGUACUAUUUAAAAUUUGGUAAUAAUUAAAUUAUCUACAGAAUCUGGAAAUGCAUGGAUCUGAUUAAUGCGGAGAAGCUAUGGGAUAUAGUGUUUCCAGGCUGGAGCCACAUGAGAUCAUCAGAGUGUUUAUUUUUACGGCUUAUAUUAUUCUGACUUGCCUCUUUCAUUACAGCAUACUAAUUGCACUGGUGUAGCAAUUAUUUCCUUUGUAAUCAAACUGUUGACAGUCCUUCGCCUCCACAGGCUAAGGGUGUAUCUGAAGAUCACCCCUAAAUCAGCCAGGCUGGGAAAGCAGAAGAAAGGGUGUGGUGGGGGGGAUUUCUGUCCUUAAUUUAGACAGAAGCUGUGCAUCCGUGAGACUGUGAGCCGUCAGCCACACAAGAGGGCAAGGCGCCCCGGGAGAGGGAGAGAGUGGCCCAGGAGAGAACAAUUUAAGGGAAUUCUUGGCUAUCUCCUUGCAUCAGGUGGUUUGAGUUCCGAGUGGAUCCUGAGACACAUGGGGCUGCCCAAGAGGAGGAGACGUGCCCUGAACCUUGGAAUGCACCAAGAUAGUCCCUUGGCCUGGAAAGGAAGUGGUGGUUGAAGGGGUUGGAGCCCCGAGGCCCCGGGUAAUUAGUGUCAUGCAGGGGCAGGCAGAGGGAAAUACAGUGAGUUGUGGGCUUAUUAGGACAUGCUCACCUCGCACCCACCGCUUGUGGGGGCCCUGGGCAGAACAAGGAAUGUGCCCGGAGUAGCUGAGCCUGAGUCCUAUGGAAGUACCCUUUGGUGCUAGACCAGAAGGUGGCCUGCAGAGAGAGCAGCGAUGUCAGAGCGGUGACGUCAUGGGCAAAUACUCCUAUCAGGGAAAUGGGAGGUUCAGAACCUUAGACGGCUCCCCCCAGGGACUCAUCCCUGAGCGGGGCUAUCUUGGCUUCCCGAUGCUGCCGUGGGCUCCAGGCUUCUCUGCUGUGUGGCCCUUUGUCUCCUGGGAGCAGCAGGCCCAGUGGAAUCGGAGGUCACCCAAACUCCAAGACACCUGAUCAAAACAAGAGGACAGAAAGCGACCCUGAGAUGUUCCCCUGUCUCUGGACACUUAUCUGUGUACUGGUACCAACAGGUUCUGGGCCAGGGUCCCCAGUUUCUCAUUCAGUAUUACGAUAUGAAAGAGAGAGAGAGAGAGGAAAGAUCCCAGAAUGGUUCUCAGCUCAACAGUUCAGUGACUACAGCUCCCAGCAGGACAUGACCUUGCUGGAGCCGGGAGACUCGGCCCUGUAUCUCUGUGCCAGCAGCUUGGCACAGCCAUGCACGAUCGGCAGCCAGCUCUACAAAAAUCUUCCACCACCUUCCCCCCCAGCUCAGGAAGUGAUGGCGAGGGUGGCAUGGCCAGCCGUGGUGGCCCGGGCCCUGGGAAAGCAGACGGGCCUCUCCCAGACGCUCAUUCUGCUGCUUACGUGUGUGGCGUGUCUUAAUGCUCGCAGAAAUCAUGCAAGAUAAGUAUCACAUUACCUGUUUACAUAUAUGAGGGGAAGUGGCUUUCCUGCGUUUUCUAUUUCAGACCUGGCAGAGCAAGGAACAGUUCUGUUCCUCGACACCUGUGCUCCCCACCCCCACCUGGAACUGUCCGCUCCCCUGGCUUCCCUUCCCAGGUGCAGAUUAGCAGGGCGGGGAAGAUCACGCACCAUAUGUGAUGACCAUAGCCUCCCCCAACAGCUUCGAGGAGAAGAAUAGCCAUUGAUCCUUCCCUAUAACAACAACAAUAAAAAAUAAAAAUAAAAAGAGAGAAAGAGAGAAAGGUGCAAUUUUCUGCAUGACCGAGGUCACGGCAUGACUUCCAUGGAGGCUGUGUGAGUAGGGAGGUUUCUAGAUGAGUUCUCGCAGCUGCACAGCAAAGGGAAAGGGAUAUGUGCAUGGAAAAGCUCGGUGUUCCCAUACACGCUGCCAUCUACCAUAAGGGAAAGGACCACGGGUCCUCGUUAUUUAUUCCUUAGUUUCUUUUACUCCGCAGUUUGGGGUCCCUUACUUGGUACAAAGUACUGUAUCACAUAAAAUAGAAAAUGCAAUUUAGUAUGUUUCUUGUCUUUGAGAGUUUCAAGGUCUGAAAUAUUAAAUGUAUAAUAUUUAUCUUAGAUAUUUGAUGAUUUCUAUUGGAUCCACCUGUCCCAUGAAAACAGGUGACUCACGAAACUCCAAGUGCCAAAUACAUUAAUUCCCAGACAUGGUUCAACUCUGCUGCCGAUAGAGACUCACAAAAGAAAAUAGCACUAUCAUGUAUUGACAACUUAACUCUAUGCCAAAUAAAAGUCCUUUAAUUGCAACAUUUCCAUGAAUUAUCAGAAAAAAAAAAAAGCCUAAAGACAAAUGCAAUUUCUGCUCUCAUUUUAAAGAUGAGGGGAGUUGCCCUGAAGUUAAAGAACUUGACAAAAUCAAAUAGCUGGUCAGAUGCAGAACUGGGGCGCAAACCCGGGCUGACUUGAGUGCUGUGUUUACACAUCCACGUUCUCAUGUAUAUUCAUAGAUGCCCGCCCUCAAAGCCGGGAUGUUGUUCCGUGUGCUUUUCAGCCUGGCUAGCUCUAAUGAAAUCAUUGACGGAGAUCCGUUUCCCCGGGGGGAAAGUCCAGCUGGGAGCCCUGAGCACCCGGCUGUGGUUCCAAGUCCAGCACAACCUGCUGGUCAGGACCUGAGGCCAGUUUCUUGACAUGAUAGAUUGAGAAUUUUCACAUAUAAAAUGAGAGUAAUAAUAAGCUUUGCUAUCACCCUGAGUACUCCAGAGAAACAGAUCACACACAGUCAUAUAUGUGUAUAUAAUUUCCUUAUUAUAGAGAAUCAGCUCAUACAGUUGGGGAGGCUGGUAAGUCCAACAUCUGUAAGCUGGGCCGGUGGUGCUGGAGACCCAGGGAGAGCAGAGGUUCAAGUUCAGAGGCUAAGCAGGGAGAGCCGAUGUUCAAGUUCAAAGGCUGUUGAACAGGAAGAGCUGAUGUUCCAGUUUGAAGGCCAUCCGCUGGACAGUUCUCUCUUGUCUGGGGCAGAAUCCAUCUUUUUGUUCUAUUCAGAUCUUCAACUGAUUGGAUGAGGCCCACCUACAUUAUGGAGGGCAAUCUGCUUUACUCUAUUGAUGGAAAGGUUAUUCUCAACUAAUGUUAAAAUCUACCUAUUUAAAUGUUAAUCACAUCCAAAAACACCCUCUCAGGAACACCCAGAACGGUGUUUAACCACAUAUCUGUGGACCCUGUGGCACAGUCAGGUUAACACAUAAAUUAGCCAUGAUACCAACUUCCAGGGCUGUGUAAAAAUUUAAUAAGCAUAAAGUACCUACCAAGCACAUAGUAAGAAUCUGGAUAGCUUGAUUCCUUUUGCUAAUCUCUGACAGCUUUUUCCACCAUUUCCUAUGUACAAAGGAAGACAUGGACACAUUUUACCUAAAACUCCUCUAGUUGUCACAGAAAUGGAAAUAUUUAUGCCUGAUGAUUCAUUAUGAAAUUAACUAGAGCACCUAACAUCCCUUCUUAGGCAUUUUAACAUCAAUUUUAUUGACAUAUGAAUUAUAUACAAUAAACAUUUCACACUUUAAACGUUCAGAUCGAUGUGUUUUUUGGCGAUUUAUAUGUAUAUACCCAUGUAACACACCCCCAACUAAGUUAUAGAACAUUUCUAUCACCCAGAAAGUUCCCUCAUGCCCCUUUGCAGCACCUGUCUCC